rnacentral:pre_miRNA from 1 species
AAAAAGAUAAACCCUAGGUUUCCGUGCCAACGUUUGACCGUCCGUCUUAUAUGAAAUUUUUUUAUAAUUAGUAUUUUCAUUGUUGUUAGAUGAUAAAAUAUGGUUAAUACUUUAUGCAUGACUUAUCUUUUUAAUUUUUUUAUAAUUUUUUCAAAUAAUACGGAUGGUCAAACGUUGGACACGGAAACCAGGGUUUGUCUUUUU